rnacentral:rRNA from 1 species
AUAGCCGGGAGGAAGGA